rnacentral:lncRNA from 8 species
AUGUGUCUGUCUAUCCCUGUUCUCUCCCCUCUGCACAGGCCACACAAACGCUUCACACCGCGUGGCCGCUGCCACUCUAACCUGGUGGUCCCAGCGCGCACAACCCACGUGGAGUUCAAGGUCUCCGGCAGCCUCUGGAACUGCCAAUCUGCGGCCAACAAGGCAGAGUUCAUCUCAGCCUAUGCUGCCCUCCAGUCCCUCAACUUCUUGGCGCUGACGGAAACAUGGAUUACCACAGAUAACACUGCUACUCCUACUGCUCUGUCCUCGUCUGCCCACGUGUUCUCGCAUACCCCGAGAGCAUCUGGCCAGCGGGGUGGUGGCACUGGAAUCCUCAUCUCUCCCAAGUGGACAUUCUCUCUUUCUCCCCUUACCCAUCUGUCUAUCGUCUCAUUUGAAUUCCAUGCUGUCACAGUUACCAGCCCUUUCAAGCUUAACAUCCUUAUCAUUUAUCGCCCUCCAGGUUCCCUUGGAGAGUUUAUCAAUGAGCUUGACGUCUUGAUAAGUUCCUUUCCUGAGGAUGGCUCACCUCUCACAGUUCUGGGUGACUUUAACCUCCCCACGUCGACCUUUGACUCAUUCCUCUCUGCCUCCUUCUUUCCACUCCUCUCCUCUUUUGACCUCACCCUCUCACCUUCCCCCCCUACUCACAAGGCAGGCAAUAUGCUUGACCUCAUCUUUACUAGAUGCUGUUCUUCCACUAAUCUCAUUGCAACUCCCCUCCAAGUCUCCGACCACUACCUUGUAUCCUUUUCCCUCUCGCUCUCAUCCAACACUUAUCACUCUGCCCCUACUCGGAUGGUAUUGCGCCGUCCCAACCUUCGCUCUCUCUCUCCCGCUACUCUCUCCUCUUCCAUCCUAUCAUCUCUUCCCUCUACUAAAACCUUCUCCAACCUAUCCCCUGAUUCUGCCUCCUCAACCCUCCUCUCCUCCCUUUCUGCGUCCUUUGAUUCUCUAUGUCCCCUAUCCUCCAGGCCGGCUCGGUCCUCCCCUCCUGCUCUGUGGCUCGACGAC